rnacentral:rRNA from 1 species
UACGAAGGGUGCAAGCGUUGAUCGGAAUUACUGGGCGUAAAGGGUGCGUAGGCGGUUGUUUAAGUCUGUCGUGAAAUCCCCGGGCUCAACCUGGGAAUGGCGAUGGAAACUGGGCAGCUAGAGUAUGUCAGAGGAUGGUGGAAUUCCCGGUGUAGCGGUGAAAUGCGUAGAGAUCGGGAGGAACAUCAGUGGCGAAGGCGGCCAUCUGGGACAACACUGACGCUGAAGCACGAAAGCGUGGGGAGCAAACAGG